GACGAACGCUGGCGGCGUGCUUAACACAUGCAAGUCGAACGGAAAGGCCCUGCUCUUGUGCGGUGCUCGAGUGGCGAACGGGUGAGUAACACGUGAGUAACCUGCCCUUGACUUUGGGAUAACUUCAGGAAACUUGGGCUAAUACCGGAUAGGAGCUCCUGCUGCAUGGUGGGGGUGGGAAAGUUUCGGCGGUUGGGGUUGGACUCGCGGCGUAUCAGCUUGUUGGUGGGGUAGUGGCUUACCAAGGCUUUGACGGGUAGCCGGCCUGAGAGGGUGACCGGCCACAUUGGGCCUGAGAUGCGGCCCAGACUCCAACGGGAGGCAGCAGUGGGGAAGAUUGCACAAUGGGCGGAAGCCUGAUGCAGCAACGCCGCGUGCGGGAUGACGGCCUUCGGGUUGUAAACCGCUUUCGCCUGUGACGAAGCGUGAGUGACGGUAAUGGAUAAAGAAGCACCGGCUAACUACGUG
rnacentral:rRNA from 1 species